GGAGGAAGCUCUGGAGAAUCCCGAAAGGGUGCCGAAGGUGUAAGGCGAAAGCCGAAUCUCUCAGGCCAAAGGACAGAGGAAGCAUA
rfam:Firmicutes bacterium CAG:555 genomic scaffold, scf158